GAUAAAUAGAUAUUGGGGAAGGGGAGGAAGAGAGCUAGACAGAAGUGUUACUGCAGCCUCUAUGUAUAUAAGGUGCUCAGCUAACUAGACACAUACCAGGAUGGUUCACAACUGUGAAAUGGAAGAAUAGCAUAUUUAAUGGAUUAAGCAGAGUUUGAGAAUAAUUGCUUUUACAUUGAGAGCAGCAAAGAACUAGAAACAAAGGGGAUACCCAUCUAUUGAGGAAUGGCC